rnacentral:rRNA from 1 species
GAUGAACGCUAGCUACAGGCUUAACACAUGCAAGUCGCGGGGCAGCAUUUUCUUAGCUUGCUAAGGAAGAUGGCGACCGGCGCACGGGUGAGUAACGCGUAUCCAACCUUCCCAUGUCCACGGGAUAGCCCGUCGAAAGGCGGAUUAAUACCGUAUGAGGUCACAUGCGGGCAUCUAAGUGUGACGAAAGGUUUGGCGGACAGGGAUGGGGAUGCGUCCGAUUAGGUAGUCGGCGGGGUAACGGCCCACCGAGCCGACGAUCGGUAGGGGUUCUGAGAGGAAGGUCCCCCACAUUGGAACUGAGACACGGUCCAAACUCCUACGGGAGGCAGCAGUGAGGAAUAUUGGUCAAUGGGCGAGAGCCUGAACCAGCCAAGUAGCGUGCAGGAUGACGGCCCUAUGGGUUGUAAACUGCUUUUAUAAGGGAAUAAAGUGGGUCACGUGUGACUUUUUGCAUGUACCUUAUGAAUAAGGACCGGCUAAUUCCGUG